AUUGAACGCUGGCGGCAUGCCUAACACAUGCAAGUCGAACGGGGCAGCAAUGCCUAGUGGCGGACGGGUGAGGAAUACGUAGGAAUCUGCCCUUAAGUGGGGGAUAACCAGGGGAAACCCUGACUAAUACCGCAUGAUCUCUUCGGAGCAAAGAGGGGGACCGCAAGGCCUCGCGCUUCUGGAUGAGCCUACGUCUGAUUAGCUAGUUGGUAGGGUAAAGGCCUACCAAGGCGACGAUCAGUAACUGGUCUGAGAGGAUGAUCAGUCACACCGGAACUGGGACACGGUCCGGACGCCUACGGGAGGCAGCAGUGGGGAAUAUUGGACAAUGGGCGCAAGCCUGAUCCAGCAAUGCCGCGUGUGUGAAGAAGGCCGUCGGGUUGUAAAGCACUGUAGCCGGGAAAGAAAAAAAGGGGGGGAACAAACAAAGUCGGGACGGUACCAGGAGAAUAAGCACCGGCUAACUCUGUGCCAGCAGCCGCAGUAACAC
rnacentral:rRNA from 1 species